rnacentral:lncRNA from 1 species
GCCAGAUAGCCCAAUUCUGGUCUAGACAGAUAGUGAAACUUCUGAGAAAGCUCCUUAAUGGCGGAGAGACUUGGCUGGCUUACCACUUUUCCUUUGAAUCCUCCACUUCCUCCUGGCAGGAAUGCAGAAGCAAUGCCAGAGGUGAAACAGCUAUUCUGAAACCUUGAGGUAACAAUAAUGAGCUUGGAAGCCACAUCCUAAGAUGGCUGAAUGGGAAAGAAAAAGGAGACAAAUGCAGCCCAUUUCCGGACCACUUUUUACAUGAGAAAAAGAAAAUUCCUUAUUUCUUUAACCCACUGUAGGUCAUUUCUGUCACUGAGAGCUGAAGGUACAUACUCACUGAUACAAAAAAAAAAUGUGUAUACGGCCAGUCGCAAGGUAGGAAACUCAAUUAACACAUUUAAAAUGGUGCGGCCAUAUAGGAGAAAAAACAGGAAAGCAUGUUUCCAGACGGGUUCCCUGGAUCACCACAGGUGUCUGACAGAAGGAUGAGCAUUGAAUAGAACAAGGACACAAGGGGGAGACAAGCCCACCCGGAUUCACCUUCGAACAAGAGUGAUGGCUGCGUGUUCUAGAGCACAGCCUAGCACUGGGUAGAUGCCUUUCCAAAAAUUAUACAUCUGAAGCAAUAUUUGGCGCCAUGGAAACAAAGACAAAAAUGUACACAAAAUAGAAAUAAAGACAGGAAAACUUGCAUGUAAGAUUUUCCCUAAUAGCUUCCGUCUACUAUCCUUGUGGGAAAAUCAAUAAUAUUGGAGAACUGACAGCAUUUGUACGGUCUGAGAUUCUCAAAACAUGGAACAAGGAAUAAUAGUGUUAUAUCAAGAAGCUUUAGAUGGUAAAUAGACAUGGCAUCAAACAGUGCUGAAACGUGAAGCUAGCUGCCAUGUUGUGAGAAGAGGCUCAAAUGGUGAGGAUCUGAGGCACCUGUCCAACAUCCAUUGAGGAACUGAAGCAUCUUGCCAGGCGCCAUGUGAGUGAGCUUGGAAGCAUUUCCUCCCACCCCAGCCAAGUCUUCGGAUGACUGCUGCCCCAGCCAACAUCUGGACCAUAAUCUCAUCAGAGACCCUGAGCCAGAACCAUCCAGCUGAGCUGCUACCAAAUUCUUGAUCCACAGGGAGUGUGAGGAGAAUAAAUGUUUGUUAUUUUAAGCCAC